GUCCUGUAACGUAAUUGAUAGCGAGUUGGACUUCUAAUCCAACAGUCGUGGUUCGAAUCCCACCUGGGAUG